rnacentral:misc_RNA from 1 species
GUAGGUGAACCUGCGGAAGGAUCAUUACUAUUAGCAGAUUUUCUGCUGGGAGCGGAAAGCUUUGGAGUGUUUAUUUAGCAUUUUAAGGCGAGUACGCUUUCUAAAUCCUUGUCUUUUUGCGUACCCAUGUUUCCUCGGUGGGCUUGCCCGCCGGCUGGACAACUCAAUAACCUUUUAAUUCUCAAUCAGCGUCUGAAUAAUUAUAAUAAUUACAACUUUCAACAACGGAUCUCUUGGUUCUG